CCCGCCGGCGGCCUCCCUGCCUGGGCCCAGAGACUUGCCCUUGACUCCACGGCUUCCCCGGCCCACGUCCCCAUUUUCCAGCCCUAGGCCUUCGGGAAGAAGCCGGUGCUUAAUUUACGACCGCCUUGGAUUGGAGCCUGGCACGCCCUUUAUAACGGUCACCUUUUCCGGACCCUCUGGCCGCCCCUGACCGGGCACACCAGGACUAGGGUCACCGUGCUUAAUGGUCUUGGGACAAGUCAGCCACUGCGCUGAAUCCCAAGGACCCAGUGGACCAAAGGAGAGGUUAGGGGACAUUAUCUUUUUCACAGAAUUGGAUUCUCAAUUAAUUUGGAGCCUAGAUGGAAAAAAACAGAAGACAAACAGAGUUGGGAAGAUAAGAUGAGCAAGUGGCCCAAGAGUUCCAGGCAGUGAAGAGACUAAAGGCUGAAUGGAACUCAGGAUUGAACUACUUGCAAGGCAGAAGCGACACCAUUGAGCUAAAUCCCUGGCCCAGCAACACAAUUUUUGAAGCUAAAAUACUUAGCAGACCCAAGAAAAGGAAACACUGAGAUGAUGGCCAGGAAGGAAAGUUCAUGAGUGGGUGGCACUGGGUACCACUGGAUGUGAGCAUAAAGGCCAAAAGACUGUUUAGGAGGCUCAGAUUCCGGAUCCCCUCCCCAGUCUCACAAAGGACAAGUGCCCCUUCCCAUCCUGACAAGAUUGUUUAUUAUUUGAAGAAAAGAAAAAGGAGACGCACAUGUACAACAGAGGUACCAUGCGAGAGGAAGAAUAAACACACAUGGAUACUGGAUGCUGAGAGUCACAAGCCCUAUUCUAGAUGCAGGGAGCCAGGGGACCAGGAGAAUCUGAAAGGACCAGGCCAGCCUGGAGGAACACCUAAAUGUUCUGCAAUCUGCACAUGGACAAGUAGCAGCCAGCAUCCUUUAGGUGAGGCCACAGUGCAAGCUGCUGUUGCUACACAGGACUUCAAAUCAGUCCUUCCCGGUGAAUACAAGCAGGCAGCCAUGGCUGAUGUCACAUCUCAGGAAACCUGUGUCAUGAGAUGCACAGCCAUAGCAGAUUUUUUUUUUCUUCUUUUUUUUGAUACGGGGGAUCGAACUUGGUCCUUGUGCUUGCAAGGCAGGCGACAGAACCACUGAGCUAAACCCCUGGCCCCCCACAACAGAUUUUUGAAGAGCAAGUUAGAGGAAAUAAACGAAGCAAAGAGAAGUAAAACAUCAACAAAGUUCCCAAUAGGGAAAUUUGAAAAAGAUGUCCCAACACAUGAAGGGAGAACAUGUAUCAAGAAACAUGAAAUAAAACGCAAGCCUGAAUACUAUAUGGUUUCUCUUAUAUGAGAACCCCAAA